rnacentral:lncRNA from 1 species
GGUAACUCUACUUAGGCUCUGAUUGAUUCUGUCAACAUUAACCUGUGGUUCAUAUUCUUCCAGCACGCUAUGGGCCCUCUUCCUCAUUACAGCCCCAGAGAGGACCAAGGUUCAUCUGCCAUGUGUCCGGCGCUGCGCCAGCGGUCACUUCUUCCAUUGCUGCAUCUGCAAAUGUAUGAGAGGUUCCCUGCAUGGAGUUUGGAAUCCAAACCAGACUGGCUAGAAGACCGCAACUCAACCGUGACCGAGCAGCCAAGGUCUGACCCAAGGUCUUUAAACAGAAAGGCUUCCCCAUAAGGACUUUGAUGAAAGGCCGAUGUCGACCAUCUCCUCUUCUUCCUCCUUGUAAUUGUCAGGACAUUGACUACUAUGACACCUACGAGCAGUAGACCAGUCAUUUAAGAGACUGUACAAUGCUGCCACCUGGUGAGUAAAAACAAAUCCAACCAACAUCGUCUCUCUUUAAUUUCAAGAAUAGGGCCCUGACAGAUAAUGAAGCUGGAGAAGCGACGACUAUAAUGGAGAUAGUCCAGGAGGAUCUCACAGCUCUGAGGGGACAGAGGGGUCCUGUCUUUGGAACAGGUUCUUCUGAAGGAACUCCAGGAUCCUCCUCCAUUUGGACUCCCCUCCCCACAACAUGAUCACUGCAACAACACAUCACAGUUUUGCAGGUAAAAAUACUCAUGAAAAACAAUCCUUUUCAAAGACUUGUAACGUCAUGUGUCUAGGGAUACUAUCGACUGGGUCCUUGAUCUAGCCUUACAGUAAGUCAGAGCAGAUGAGAGAUGCUCUGUAAAAUCCCUCACUUUUUACCCUGUUCUUGGUGUAAAGGAAGGUGCUAGAGCGGAAGUGAGGAGAGUAGAAAGGUUUGAUCAGGUGACCAGCCCCAGGGUAGGACACAGUUGUCAGCAGGUGACCGUUCCCUGCCCUCUCCAACAUACUGUACUGCACAUCUGUGCAUAGAGGUCAGAGGUCAGGUGAUAUCUGGGAUAGGCCUUUUAGCGUGCCAACUUAUACUGUAAUCAAUGUAGGUCUAUGUAUGCAUUAUCAGGUAGUGUCAGGUAGCCUAGUGGUUAAGAGUGUUGGGCCAUUAACUGAAAGGUUGCUGGUUUGAAUCCCUGAGGUGACUAGGUGAAAAAUAUAUCUUGAGCAAGGCGCUUAACACUAAU